CGCUGGCUGGCUAGGUCGCUCUUGAAGGCCAUACAGAAGUCUAGAAGACAGGAGAUUGAAUGGUGUCCUUGGAGUUGCAUUGUCAGUUAUUGUGGCUGGGUGAAGGGGUCCAAGGUAAUCUGCAACAGAGGAGAACAUUUCAGGGUUGAAGCAAGACUGGUAGUGAUGAGAACUGCAUCCUACAGAGAUCAGUGUAUGAAUUUUGAAGAGGGAAGGAGCAGUGCCAGUGAAGAAAUGACCUCUUAUGAUAGAAAUCUCAUAAUUGAAGUUGCUGCUUUGAAAUGAAGCCUAAUACAAAAGCUGAAUGUUAAGCUCCACUGUUGUUAGCAAGUGAGCAAGUAAGUGCCUUUCUCUCCUAUAUGUUUUGUAUCUGAAGUCCAAGAUGGCCCUGAAUAUAGAUUAUGUGGCACUGAGGUCUUUUCUGGCUUUUUACCUUAUCCUUCUAACUUCCUUUAACACACCCCCACUUUGCUCUUGAUUAUUACUGCAUGUUCCUACAAUAGAAAACAAAUUCUUCUAUAUAUGAUUUCCCAGUAGGAUUGACUUUCCCUAAGGUUAAGGCAAGUCUUGGUUGGUUUCGACCUGACUUAGCAGUUUUGAGUUUCAAUACACACAUACACACACACACACACACACACACACACACACACACACACACACACACACAUGCUGUGAGACCUUGCCCAAUUUUUCUGACCUCCUAAAACUCCAGUACAAAUUAUCACCAUCACCUUCAGCCUUAGAGGGGUGAUGCCUAUGUCCCAUUUAGGGACAACCAUCCCACCUUCAUCAUCAUUACCAUCAGUAUCAUUAUCAUCAUCACCAUCAUCAGCAUUGGCAUUAUCACCACUAUCAUCAUGAUCACCAUUAUCUCCAUAGUCAUCAGUAUCUAGGUCAUGGGCAUAUUGUGUGACUUAACUGAGAUGUGAAUCUAAAGUGAAAUAUGGUAUCUGGCAUAUGACACAAACUCAAAACAUGUUCUUAGUCAUUAAUUAGCUUUAUGUAGUUACAAAGUCUGACUGUCUCUCACUGCAUCUUACAAGUUAAACUCUCUUACCUUGUUUUCAGUAGAUAUUUUUAACAUGUGCAUUUCUGAAGCCAAUUGGAUCUAGUUUUUCUUUUCGUUUCAUUUUCUAUUUUGUUAAGGUACUGAACUGAGCUCACUGAGUAUUAGAACUAAGGCACGAAACCUCCUAGAAAGUCACCUUGCUUCCCUUUAACUUCAGUUAGCCAUAGUGUCAACACUGCUUUUCUCCAAUGCUGAUAGAAAUUUGGCAACUUUCUCAUCUCUUAUAGGGAUUAGACAUUCUAAUAGCUGAAAGUGGAGCAAUGAUCACACAAGUAAUUGUUUAGAGAGCAGGUCAAAGUGUUAGUGCCUGAAUUUGCAAGUCUAAAUUGAAUUACUUCUCUUAGAUUGAACUUCCAGCUAAUGUAUGAAAAUGAUAUUUACCAUUUUUAACCUCCUUAAUAGAAUGUUUUUUUCAUGAUUCUAAUUUUCCUCUCUGGGCUGACCAGAGCAAAAUCAUAAGAUCAAAGCAGCCUUUCUCUGUCCCUUUGUGUAUGAUGAUCUGUAAUAGCCACGUAUGAUAUAGCACAGGUAUUCACAAACUCAGCCCUCCAGAGCAUGAAAUGGCUCCUUUUCCCUACCUCAAUCUUCCUCUGUGUCACUUGGCAUACCUGCCAUUCUUCAAGUCUGUCUGUGGUAAGUUUGAGCUAUUUGAACUGAAGGUGGAAAGAGCCUGGCAUCCAUUCACUUCACCUUUUCUGUAUUUGACUCAGAUUUGUUGGGCACAUAUCACCCCAGGACCCAAUAAUAGAGUCUAAAACUCCUGUUUUUUUAUUUUGUCCACAGUUUUCACCAUCUACUCUAGCACUAUGUGUCAUAUUUGUUCACUGAAUGUCAGUUUCUCCCAGUUAGAAUACA